rnacentral:rRNA from 1 species
AUUGAACGCUGGCGGCAGGCCUAACACAUGCAAGUCGAGCGGAUGACGGGAGCUUGCUCCUUGAUUCAGCGGCGGACGGGUGAGUAAUGCCUAGGAAUCUGCCUGGUAGUGGGGGACAACGUUUCGAAAGGAACGCUAAUACCGCAUACGUCCGACGGGAGAAAGCAGGGGACCGUCGGGCCUUGCGCUAGUCGAUGAGCCUAGGUCGGAUUAGCUAGUUGGUGGGGUAAUGGCUCACCAAGGCGACGAUCCGUAACUGGUCUGAGAGGAUGAUCAGUCACACUGGAACUGAGACACGGUCCAGACUCCUACGGGAGGCAGCAGUGGGGAAUAUUGGACAAUGGGCGAAAGCCUGAUCCAGCCAUGCCGCGUGUGUGAAGAAGGUCUUCGGAUUGUAAAGCACUUUAAGUUGGGAGGAAGGGCAGUAAGUUAAUACCUUGCUGUUUUGACGUUACCGGCAGAAUAAGCACCGGCUAACUCUGUGCCAGCAGCCGCAGUAA